rnacentral:rRNA from 1 species
UACGUAGGGCCGAGCGUUGUCCGGAAUUUAUUGGGCGUAAAGGGCUCGUAGGCGGUCUGUUGCGUCGGGAGUGAAAACUUACAGCUUAACUGUGAGCGUGCUUUCGAUACGGGCAGACUUGAGGCAUUCAGGGGAGAACGGAAUUCCUGGUUGUAGCGGUGAAAUGCGCAGAUAUCAGGAGGAACACCGGUUGGCGAAGGCGGUUCUCUGGGACGGUACUGACGCUGAGACGCGAAAGCGUGGGGAGCGAACAGG